rnacentral:lncRNA from 1 species
AUGCACUCCUUGGGUUUGGAAGCUUCCCUCCGAGAUGCUGAGCCUGACAUUUGGGGAAAGCCAGGGAAACAGAUGCUGGGUCAGUGCUCCUCCCACUUCUCCCCUCCUAAGAGCUCCACUGAGUCACCAGCCAGCAAACACCCCAUGCCCGCUGGAAGAGAUGGACUGUGGGCACACGAGCCUCUGCAUGGGCACCGUAUCGUUUUGGCCUCACCCAAUCACCUGGCUAAGCACUCAUCAGUGGAAAUACCUGAAGAAGGAACUGUUCGCUUGGACUAAUGGUUGCUGAUCUGCGCGGACGAUGUAAUCUGCACCACAGUCUAACUUUCCCUUUUACAUGGUGACGUAUUUUAUAUGGAAACAAACCAACAGAUGUCUUUAACACUUCAGUUCCAACAUAGACAAAUUCAAGACUCUUGCCAUCUAGUUUGAAUAAAGGCUAACCUAAGCGGAGGCCAUGAGACAUCAUAGGGUCUCAUUGCUAAGUGUUUCAUGCUUGAGAGAAAGGUGGUCUUGAGGCUCUUGGCUGUGUGUCCCAGCGUCUUUUCCCUUCCCCCUCCUUUUGUGGUAACAAUCCCUCCUUCCUGUGGGGACUUCUUCUCUGCUCUGGGCCACCCAGGUGGGGCCGUGAGCUCCAGUGUGCUGCACCUUUCUGGCCACAGGGAGAAGUGUGUGACCCCACAUUAUUCAGCGGCCACAAUGUAGCCUCCAGACAUAGUGGUGAAUCCCAGGAGUAGACUGUGGCUCUCCUAGAUUUGGUGGGUGCCUCAGAUGCCUCCUGAGUCUGCCCCAGGGUGAAUGUAAGGAUGGUAGAAGAAAGAAACUAUCUCUCUUUCGCUCCCUCUGGGGGGUGGCUA